rnacentral:rRNA from 1 species
UUAAAUAGCCGCAGUAUUUUGACUGUGCRAAGGUAGCGUGAUAAUUAGUUYYUUAAUUGAAAUCUUGUAUGAAUGAUUUGACGAGAAAAUUUCUGUCUCUAUUUAAUUUUUUAUGAAUUUAAUUUUUAAGUUAAAAAGCUUAAAUAACUAUAAAAGACGAGAAGACCCCAUAGAGUUUUAUUUUUUCUUUUUAUUUAGAAUUAUUUUAAUUUGAGAAAAAUUAGUUGGGGUGACUAAAAAAUUUAAUUAACUUUUUUAAUUUAAAUCAUUGAUUUAUGAAUAAAAAAUCUAGDUUUUCUAAUUUUAAAUAAAGUUMCCUUGGGGAUAMCAGAGUAAUUUCUUUUAGAGUUCUUAUCAAAAAAGAAGAUUGCUACCUCGAUGUUGGAUUAAAAUUUAAUUUAGGUGUAGAAGCUUAAAUUUUAAGUCUGUUCGACUUUUAAAAUUUUACA